UACGUAGGUGACAAGCGUUGUCCGGAUUUACUGGGCGUAAAGAGCGCGCAGGCGGUCGUUCAAGUCGAGUGUGAAAGCCCCCGGCUCAACUGGGGAGGGUCACUCGAUACUGAUCGACUCGAAGGCAGGAGAGGGUAGUGGAAUUCCCGGUGUAGUGGUGAGAUGCGUAGAUAUCGGGAGGAACACCAGUGGCGAAGGCGACUACCUGGCCUGUUCUUGACGCUGAGGCGCGAAAGCUAGGGGAGCAAACGGG
rnacentral:rRNA from 1 species